rnacentral:rRNA from 1 species
UACGAAGGGGGCAAGCGUUGUUCGGAAUUACUGGGCGUAAAGGGCGCGUAGGCGGCUUACCAAGUCAGGCGUGAAAUUCCCGGGCUCAACCUGGGGGCUGCGCUUGAUACUGGUGAGCUUGAAUGCGGGAGAGGAUAGUGGAAUUCCCAGUGUAGAGGUGAAAUUCGUAGAUAUUGGGAAGAACACCGGUGGCGAAGGCGGCCCACUGGAUCGGUACUGACGCUGAGGUGCGAAAGCGUGGGGAGCAAACAGG